rnacentral:lncRNA from 1 species
AGGGGAAGAUUUCCUGGUAGGGGAGGAAUGGACAGAGACAGGUUUAUCAACCCAUAUGGUGGGAGAGGCAACAUAUAUCAUCAGACUUCUGGUGAUCAAGAAGAAAAAUGGAAGCAUGACCUCUAUGAUCAGUCAAACAGGAGCCCACCUCCAAAGACCGAGGAAGAGCAGAUUGCUAAAGUUGAAGCGUUGUUGGCGCUGUAGUUAUCUUCUCUAUCCGUCUGGAGUUAUUUGUGAUGUUAGAUCAUCAUGUAUUUGGUUUCAUCUUUGUUGAACGCUGUCCUUUUAUUCUAUAUAUUUUGCGUAUCUAUGGGGAUUAGGACAUCGUUGAGCUAUUCCAUUUAGAGUGAAGGUAUUGUUCUAGACAAUCAUGAUUCACGAGUUUCGUACUGUGGGAACCAUGGAGCAAAGUACAAGAGUAAAGAAUAUGCUUCACGAAUGCUUUUGGAGCUGGAAUGCCUCUUUAGCGUGUUGACCUCGUGUUGAAGUUGUACUCGGACUGUGUGGGCAAAUUGCACACAGCCACGCGACACAAUCUAUUCUCGUUGGGGUUAUGGUAAGUACAUUGGUGUUGAUCUCAUGUAAUCUUGAGACAACUUAAUAAACAAUCUUGAGACAAUUUAAUAAAAAAUUUGUACAAGGGUUGCCUUUUUAAGUUGUCUCAUAAUAAUUCUAUUUUCUUAAUUUAUGCAUAGAAAAAAAGAAAUAUUAUGAGUUGUAUAAUAACCACAACUUGUACAGUGGUGGAGUAGUCGUCUCAUAGUCCUAAAGUCUAGCCUAUGAGAUGGUUGUUUCACAAAACAACAACAUCUUUCUCUCCUUUCCCUCUCUCAUCCAUAUUAGUAAAAAUCCUACAUGGCAUUGCACGAGACGACCUACAAAACUGCUGAGGUGUAGUAAUGUACUUGCUCUAAGCGUAAUGCCUCUUCACUGGGUAUUGCACCAUCCUCGAGGAACAUCCCAAUUCCCAAAAUUCCAAAGGCAUUAAGUCAAUUAAGGCAUAAUCUUUGAUUAAUAGCUUGAUUUGUGCUGUCAUAACCAUGUAAUGCAAGAAAACUCAUCUAUGAAUUGAGGACACUUAGUUGGUUAGGUUACUGUGGUGUAACCUUCGUCUUUGAAUUUGAUGAUUAUAUUUUCUUUAGAUUAAAUGAUUAUAUUUUCUUUAGAUUAAAUCCCCAGCUGCACUAAUGCGCAGGAACAUGGAUGCUUUUAGAAAAUUUUAUAGUUUUAUGUAAGGAACCCAAACUAUAUAUUCACGAUGAAAUGUUUCUUUCUCUUUAUAAACUCUAUGUUACGUCACCCAAAUAUUAGAUGUGGUGAUUUAUUUAAGAGAAUGUAUCCUUAUCAAUUGUUUGAGAGUUUUCCUUAAUCGUGGUUUUGUAACUGUUGGAUACCGAUCUACCUAUUCGUUUGCCUCUCCCAUUUCUUCUUCCUCCCUCAACCUUCCCCACGUGACCUUCUUCCGACGUUUAACCCUGACGUUGGGCGUGACGUCCUCGCCACAACCACCUCCCACCUGGCUCCAACGUCCAUGCUCCCUCCUCCACCGCCCUGCCACUAUCCAAUGCGAAUCUAUAAGAUCCAGAUGCUGCUGUUGCCUCCACCGUACGUUGGGGGGUCUUACCAUCCAGCCCCGGUGACGCCCUCGUUGUCUCUGUUCUACCGUCGCUCUCACACCUCCACCGCUAGUAGGCGAGCCGCCUGGAGCUCCUUUAUUCCCAAAGCCACAUGUGACCCAUCUCCACUCGCAAACCCUAACCCUGAAUCCUUCUCUCCAAUUCAGUACCACUAAAAAUUACGUUGACUAACGAGAAAACUCUUGUAUUGAAGAAAACUCGAUGACACAAGAGGCCCAUAAAUCCACACCUGCAUUGAAGAAAACUCUUGUAUUGGAGGAGAAAAGCAAUGACAUACAGUCAAAAACUCGUUCGAAGAGCUCAAUAGAUUCAUUGUCAGCACAUGACAUGUUGCUAUCAACUCUGCUCAAACCAUGCCUUGCAACACGACUAAGUGAUUUAAGUAGGUUCAGAGAUAUUGAAAUGGAUGGCUUCUUUUCAAUACAAACUCUCAAAAUUACCCAGCAUCUACUAUCCAAUGCCGGAUCAAAAGGCUGUGACAUCUUUUUACUAUUCUCAGGAAAAUUUAAGAUAGACUGCACCCAGUUUCCAAUAAAUGACACCAGACGUGAUAGCUGAAUGCUGUGCACCGUAUGGCCAUGGCUUGAGUUCUUUGACAGUGUGGUUAAAAAUUCAACUGCUAGCUCAAUCUUUCUGCACAAAUAAACAUGUCGUUACGAAGAUUCCAAACAAGAAGAUUAAAAUAAGGUAAAUCCAAACAUGAUUCAAACAAUUUAUCCCAUGAGUAAAAUAGCACCAAAAUGCUCACUUCCGUAUGAAUCAAAGAGAUCCCAUUGGGUAUUCAUGUACAUAAUAUGAGCUAAUUUGGCCAUCUUACUGCUUUUAAAAGCCCAGAAAGUACUAAGGGAAAGUACUAUUUGAAAUAAAUCGAUGUAAUUAUAGUGCAAAAUCGACAACUAUGAAGCCAAGCUAAAGCUGCCUACAACAAAACUGUAUCUCUCAAAAUCCUAUGUGCACUAAAUUAAGCAAAUCGCCUCGUGCAUUUAGUAAUGACAGUAAACAAGCAAUCCACAAUCCUCCACAACUGAGCCGACUAAUUCAGCAGACCAGAGAAGCAUAAUCACUGGAUAACUGAAAUUCCUAGUCACGGGAUGGCACGAGCUAAAGUUCACUGAAACGGAAGCAGAAGUGUUAAGCGGGUGACCUUUCGAGCGAGAGCUCCUUGCCCUGGAGGGAGAGGACGAGGUCGAGGUGUUCCCCCGCGCCCUUGGGGCCGCCGCCGCCGUCCAAGCCCAGCCUGGCGCACUUGAGCUCGCUCGGCCCCUCUCCGUCGCGAGGCGGCGAUCGGCUCCGCCGCCGCUUCCUCGCUGCGCCGGGGCCCGCGGUAGCGGCAGCCGUCUCCAUGGCGAUGGCCGUCGCGAGAGCGGAAGUGGAGGCUGGCUAGGGUUCUGGGUUUUUGGGACACGAUGCCGGCUAUUCCCUCGUCCCGUUUGAUUUCUCAGUGCUCAAAGACGCGCGCCGUGAAGUCCCCUGCCGCGCCCAACCAGUCUCCACAGCAACAGUACGAAUCUUAAAGCUGGCUAGAACCAGACCGGCUCACGGCGUGGAAUGAGAUAGUCCGGGCCCAACCCAACCCACAAUUCUAGGUCCGGAUUCCAGGUACAAGCUACAAACCCUAACCCAUCCAAAGCAAUGGAGGCUGGAGCGGAAGGGGAGAAGACGAUGACGACGAGGGAGCCGCACGAGGCGUCCCGCCGCGAGCGCGAGGGGCGCGACUCGCACGGGAGGCGCCCCCACUCCUCGUCCAGGUCGCGGAGGGACGACCCCAGGUACCAAUCCGCUGCACCUCCGUCGGGAUUCUCGAUCUGGUUGCGAUUUGGUUUGGAUUAGAAUGCUGGUGUUUGGGGGGAUCGGGAAUUGUUUCUGCGACUUGCAAUUUCUUAAAGUUAAUGCGAUUUGUAUCCUUAUUAACCCAUUUUCGCAAUCGCUUUUGGUAGCCCGAGGAGAAGAAGAGAUGACAGGAGGCAUGAAUCGGAUAGGGCGCACUAUAGAAGUCGAGAUGAAGAAUCUGCGAAGGUGUCGGACCGUGAUCAGAAGCGGAACAGAGAUGCUGAGCAGCGCGAUGAUCCUCCGAAUGCUGAGUCGAAGUCAGUGAGUGAUGCCAAGAAUGACCCGUCCACCAGGCGUGAGAGAUCUCCUAGGGGAACCAAACGGUUUUCAGAGUCGAGAGAGGCUUGGCGGCCUCGGCCUUUCUUUCAGGUUUUUAUCUUUUCUCCAUUUAUAAAAGGGCACAACGCCAAUGGCUUGUGCUCUGUUUCAAAUGGUUUGAUGCUAUAGCCUAUAGUGUGCUUAUACUAUAAUGGCCUGAAUAACCUUUUGCAUUUGCAUUGUUAGAGAGCUGUCAUAUUAAAUUGCUGAACAGCAAGGUAUUUCACGUUCUGUAACCUGACCUGUGCUGGAAAUGUACCUAGCAGAUUAGUGUUAGGUAGAUCCAUUGGUCAAUACUUGCUGGUCAUGCCGAGUGCAUCCUGAUUAUGACAGCUCAGCUCAGGCUGUGCCGAGUGCCAAGUGGCUGCCCUAUCUGUUGAAAAGAACCAACGCCACAUUAUUUACUGCCUUUGUAGGGAGUAUUGUCGAAUAGGCAAAUAGUGCUUUGAUAUCGUUAAUGGCAUUUAGUCUACAUUUGCCAGUAUUCCCUGUUGGUGUUAUUCUGAAUAACUGCUAUGUAUUAAUGUUCAGUCGAAUUCAGGGGCUAGGGAGUAGAGAUGAUUCCAAUGUAAACUUUAUCUGUUAAGAUCAAGAAGUGAUUUGCCAUUUUAUAGAUGUUCCCUAUUCUAAUCAACAACCUUAGAUAAAUUUGAUUUGAGGACAUGAUAGUGCUGUUUCUUGCUGGUUUGAAUGGGAAGUACAUCAGAUACUCGUGUUACUUCUUGCUGGUUUGGAUGAGGAGUACUGAAGUACAUCACUAUUCUUUCUCAUAAGUAGAUUAUGCAAUUGCAACUUAUUUUAGUUUAUAGUUGAAGUUCAACUGUUUAAACAGGCUAAGCUAUUUCUUUCGUACACAUACAGUCUCUUUGUGACUCUUGUUGAUUCUCAUCUCUAGCCUACCCCAACUUGAUUGGGAUUAAAAGGCUUUGUUGUUGCGUACAUAUAGUCUCGUUAUAAAAUGGAUCUGUGUUAUCAUAGCUAGAUAGUAGAAUCGACAUGUGAGCUGAUCAGCUCAAAUUACUGCCCCUUUUUUCCAUACAUAAGUUAUGCACUAUAAUUUAAGCUCUAUUUGUCAUUUUGCAGAAAUCUAUCGCUGGCCUAUUUCAGUGAUUUAAUUUCAUCUAAUGCAGUUUGUGCAUAAAGAAUAAUAAGUUGUUGCUAAAACUAUACAUUUUUCUGUUAAUUUGUCAUACAUAAAUAACAUAUUCCUCCUGAUGUAGUGGGAGUACUUUUAUGACGCAUGCAUUCAAAUGAACUGUUUAUAACAAUGCUAGACUACCUGCACUUGUAUGUACAGCACAAUGAGCGUGGAAGUGCUGGGCAAGGUGGUCGGCGCUAUGACCGUCAGGCUAGUGGUGAGCUGCUUUCUUAGUUCAUACUUUGGGCACUUAUUUUCCAUCUUUUAUGCAUGCUAAUUUAUUAUUGUUGUUCUUAAGGCUACGGAAGACAGAGGGAUCAAAAGGAACAUGAUAGAGAUAAACAAAAGGAUGCGGGGCACAGUUUGCAGGGAAAGGUUGAGCAGGAUGAUGGUGAUUCUACAUGGAGGCAUGAUGGAUUUUUCCAGUUGGAGGAAGAAGCACCCCUGGCCAAGAAGAGGCCACCUUUUCAGGAGAUGAAGAUGCAAGACUCUGCUGCCACUGUUACAGAUCUGGACUCUGGAUCAAGGAAACCUGAUCAGCCUGGGCCCACUUCUGCAAUAAGAGAAGAAAGGAGAAAUUAUCACCCAAGGGGAUUUGGAAAUCAUAGACCAUUUAUAAGGCCAGAUGAUCGAGGUUUCAGACGUGGAUUUCCUGACCACAGGAGUGAAGGCCAGAGAAAUGGGUAUGAUUCAAGGGGAAGAUUUCCUGGUAGGGGAGGAAUGGACAGAGACAGGUUUAUCAACCCAUAUGGUGGGAGAGGCAACAUAUAUCAUCAGACUUCUGGUGAUCAAGAAGAAAAAUGGAAGCAUGACCUCUAUGAUCAGUCAAACAGGAGCCCACCUCCAAAGACCGAGGAAGAGCAGAUUGCUAAAGUUGAAGCGUUGUUGGCGCUGUAGUUAUCUUCUCUAUCCGUCUGGAGUUAUUUGUGAUGUUAGAUCAUCAUGUAUUUGGUUUCAUCUUUGUUGAACGCUGUCCUUUUAUUCUAUAUAUUUUGCGUAUCUAUGGGGAUUAGGACAUCGUUGAGCUAUUCCAUUUAGAGUGAAGGUAUUGUUCUAGACAAUCAUGAUUCACGAGUUUCGUACUGUGGGAACCAUGGAGCAAAGUACAAGAGUAAAGAAUAUGCUUCACGAAUGCUUUUGGAGCUGGAAUGCCUCUUUAGCGUGUUGACCUCGUGUUGAAGUUGUACUCGGACUGUGUGGGCAAAUUGCACACAGCCACGCGACACAAUCUAUUCUCGUUGGGGUUAUGGUAAGUACAUUGGUGUUGAUCUCAUGUAAUCUUGAGACAACUUAAUAAACAAUCUUGAGACAAUUUAAUAAAAAAUUUGUACAAGGGUUGCCUUUUUAAGUUGUCUCAUAAUAAUUCUAUUUUCUUAAUUUAUGCAUAGAAAAAAAGAAAUAUUAUGAGUUGUAUAAUAACCACAACUUGUACAGUGGUGGAGUAGUCGUCUCAUAGUCCUAAAGUCUAGCCUAUGAGAUGGUUGUUUCACAAAACAACAACAUCUUUCUCUCCUUUCCCUCUCUCAUCCAUAUUAGUAAAAAUCCUACAUGGCAUUGCACGAGACGACCUACAAAACUGCUGAGGUGUAGUAAUGUACUUGCUCUAAGCGUAAUGCCUCUUCACUGGGUAUUGCACCAUCCUCGAGGAACAUCCCAAUUCCCAAAAUUCCAAAGGCAUUAAGUCAAUUAAGGCAUAAUCUUUGAUUAAUAGCUUGAUUUGUGCUGUCAUAACCAUGUAAUGCAAGAAAACUCAUCUAUGAAUUGAGGACACUUAGUUGGUUAGGUUACUGUGGUGUAACCUUCGUCUUUGAAUUUGAUGAUUAUAUUUUCUUUAGAUUAAAUGAUUAUAUUUUCUUUAGAUUAAAUCCCCAGCUGCACUAAUGCGCAGGAACAUGGAUGCUUUUAGAAAAUUUUAUAGUUUUAUGUAAGGAACCCAAACUAUAUAUUCACGAUGAAAUGUUUCUUUCUCUUUAUAAACUCUAUGUUACGUCACCCAAAUAUUAGAUGUGGUGAUUUAUUUAAGAGAAUGUAUCCUUAUCAAUUGUUUGAGAGUUUUCCUUAAUCGUGGUUUUGUAACUGUUGGAUACCGAUCUACCUAUUCGUUUGCCUCUCCCAUUUCUUCUUCCUCCCUCAACCUUCCCCACGUGACCUUCUUCCGACGUUUAACCCUGACGUUGGGCGUGACGUCCUCGCCACAACCACCUCCCACCUGGCUCCAACGUCCAUGCUCCCUCCUCCACCGCCCUGCCACUAUCCAAUGCGAAUCUAUAAGAUCCAGAUGCUGCUGUUGCCUCCACCGUACGUUGGGGGGUCUUACCAUCCAGCCCCGGUGACGCCCUCGUUGUCUCUGUUCUACCGUCGCUCUCACACCUCCACCGCUAGUAGGCGAGCCGCCUGGAGCUCCUUUAUUCCCAAAGCCACAUGUGACCCAUCUCCACUCGCAAACCCUAACCCUGAAUCCUUCUCUCCAAUUCAGUACCACUAAAAAUUACGUUGACUAACGUUGAUACCAAUUUCAAUCGAUUAAUAAGCAGUAAAUCUCCUUAGAUAAUGACCAUGAUACAUGUGCAUCUAUUAGUCUAAGAUGUGUCGUGGCUUCAGGUGAGCCAUUGCAAAUAUCCAAAAGAAGGAGAAAUACAAUAAGCACAUUGUAAUUAUUUUGUCACCUGCUCACUUCGAAAAAAUUUCGCACUUCCACUCAAAAGGCUCAAAACCCCUUCAAAAGAAAAAUCCCACACCCUAGAGCCCUCACUCUUCUCGCCAACGCAACUUCGCACCCAACCGCCGCCGGCCGCCGCGUCCCCUCCCCUCCCUCACCACGGACCCCCAAUGGCGUCGUCAUCGACGGCGACGCCGUCGCGCCGCUCCGUCUUCGACGCCGCCUACAUCCGCUCGGAGUUCUCCGCGGCCGGCAUCUCCGCGCACUUCAUCCCUCUAAUCUGGAAGUACGCCACUCUACGGCAGAAUCCUACGCGCACGCCACAAUCCCGCCCGUCUCGCUCCCUCCCUCCUCGUCGCCGUGUUUGAUUUUUUUUUUCUGUUUAACCUGAGGUGGUAUUCUCUCUGCGUGCGCAGGUAUGUGCUUCAGAACCCUUGGUGCGGCGACCUGUGCGGCGUCCCGUCGCUGCCGGCGACCGCGUACGCGCUCCUCCAACAGAAGUUCCGGCCGACCACGUCGACGCUAACCACUGCAGCGGACUCCAAGGACCGCACCACGACCAAGCUCCUCAUCCGCCUACAGGUGAUUUGGUUGGAUUACGCUACUUGCGCAGCCACAAAUGUCGGGUGUGGCGUGCGAACGUAUGCGAUCCACUGGCAUUUUGGAAAUUAGGCGGAAUUGGGGAUAUUGUUUAGUAUCCCUAAUUAUUUCUCUACCAUUCGCCAAUUUGCAUUCGGUUGCAGUGUCAGCGUACAUCAGCAAUUUUGCCUUGGUGAUUUUGAGCUUAUGGACCGAAUGCUUGUUUGCUUACUCAGCUGCAUAUAGAUAGGAAUGGAAUGUCGCACUUGCACAAUUGAUUUUCCUAUGUUUCCGGAAAACAAUACUUUGGUUUCGUGUUUUAUAUGGUUUUUUUAUGCUUGUGGAAGAUAAUAAUAUACCUCGAAAUAUUCCAUCCAUGUAGUUUUAUGUUUUGAAAUUGAAAUCAUCUCACAAUUGUCUUGGAUGCAAUAACAAGGAGCACCACGAUGCAGAUAUACCUUAGGUAUCAUUUUAUCUUAUACUCUUAGUUGGCACAGAUCCAAACUGCAACACCCGAACAACCCAGUUAUUAAGUAUAAAGUAUUUGUAGCGAAUAGAAGUAUAACUUGCAUGCCUUGAUCCACUUAUUGACCUGUUGCUUCCAUCAUCUAUACCAAAUGUUGGGGAGGAGCAUUUCUUUUCUGUUGCUAUCCUCAUUGCUAUUUGGCUAGAUAGUAGGAGGUUUGAGUCAUUUUCAAAAUGAACAGCUCGAGCCAUGGCAUUUUCAUUCUCUUUGUUUGGAAUUUGGAAUUUCUGCUUUAGUUCUUCUAGUAAGUCCAGCUGUACCCUUUGUAUUUUCUUUUCCCUUUGACUAUAUAUUUGUAGUUUUCAGCCAUCUUCUAAAUGAAUUGCUUAAGAUAUAAUGGUUUCAUUCUCCUUAUAAUAUUUGCUAUGACUUAUGGUACCAUCUCCUGUAUUACUUAGUCAGUAAUGCUACGAUUUCAGUUCCAACCCAUCUUUUUUGUCUAUUGAACUCCUUACAGGUCGACAACAUUGCUUGCAAGUUCAAUCUCAUGACCACCUCAUUUUCUCAACCUUGAUUUCUCUUUAUUUAUUGGUGAAAUUAAUUGAUGCCUGUGAAUUACCUACUUGUCCUUUUCUGUCAGAAAAAAAGCUUUUUCCACCUGGGUUUUGUAGUUUUUAACAUUGAAGAACACCAACUUAUUGGACUUCAAAAUGUGUGGUGUAGAAUGGGGAGUCUGUAGAAGCAGUAAUCAUGCGAUAUGACACAACACUGGGGAAAUAUGAUGGAAAGCCUCGCUCUGGAGGAGUGCGGUCAACUCUUUGUGUGUCAUCACAGGUAAAUAUAUCUGUUUUCUGUUGGAUGUCAGGUGCUCUUAAAUCUGGAAAAACUUGUUUCCAAUGGUUCAAAUCUUUUGCCAGAAGAUCUGUUCAGAUCUUUAUUCUCAUCAGUGUACUAUGAUUUGCGCUUGUGACUUUCUUGUUAAUGGUGUUAAUUUUUCUUCCACAUUACUAAACAGGUUGGAUGCAAGAUGGGCUGCAGAUUCUGUGCUACUGGAACAAUGGGCUUCAAAAGCAAUCUGUCUUCUGGAGAAAUUGUAGAGCAGUUGGUCCAUGCAUCGCGCUAUUCUCAGAUUCGAAAUGUUGUUUUCAUGGUAAGUUAAUUCAUUUAGUUUUAAGUUGCCUGAAAUUUCUAUUCAAAAGAAAGAAAAUUAAUGGCAGUCAAAUGCAAUGAUUAUGCACCUUUUGUAAUCCCUUUGAGUGAUAUUUUCAUCUUGACCAAGCUGACCAUAUGUAACAGUGUUACUUGGUUUUCUUGUUGAUUCUGUGAAUAAAUAAGGUCAGUAAGAUUCAUAGAUUGGAAAACUACAUCUCUUCUUUUGCUGACAUAGGUCACAUGUCACCAUCACAUUAGAUGGUACUCCUAUUUUGAUUAUUGUGAUAAUACUGAGCAUUAUUACCCUGAUUUUUUAUAUACUUCACGUACAGGGAAUUUACUUACAUACAAAGAGAAUUGGUUUUGCAAUUAUUACUGCUGUAGAACUGGUAAAAGAUUACUGCAAGUAUUACAUUUUGCAAGUUUCUUGUAUAGAAUGAAUGUUAGCAUUUUUUUUAGUGAGUUUACUUGAUCUACGGAUUCAGGUGGCAAAAUGGUGAUCUGCUUUUCUUUUGCUGGUGACAAUUGCUCUUGUAACUGAAACAGUUAUUACUGUUUUACCAAUAAAUGGAAUAGGGGCUUCCCCAUUUUAUGAAAAAAGUUGAUCUGCCAUUUGGUUAGUUCAUAGUAAACAGUUAUUAGAUUAAUUCUUUCUUGUUCAUGUUUCUGGCACUUAUUAGAUUAUAUGUGCUCUUCUCAUACGGGAAAUUAGCAAAGCUGUUUUGCUGAAUACUGUACAGUACAUAUGUGUGGGUUGCUUAAUGUUUGUGCAUGAUUAAAAUUGUAAAUUAUUACCUACGUAUGUGAGCAUCCUUCAAACUGGACAUUGUCAUGUCAUUAUUAAGAAGAAUGAUAAUAAAUUAUUUUUAUUUGUUGGACGUUAAACAAUUUUAGUGUCCUACAGACACUAGAGAAGUGUACUUUAUGUUCUUAUACUGCUGUAUAUGCAGGGAAUGGGGGAGCCAAUGAACAACUAUAAUGCUUUGGUUGAGGCAAUUGGAGUGUUUACGGGAUCUCCUUUUCAGCUUUCGCCUAAGAGAAUCACUGUAUCUACUGUAAGCAUACUUAACCAACUACUUAUUUGCUUGUGAAAUCAAAUUCUUGGGGUGGCUGUUGAAGUACUAUUUUUUAGUAGUAAAAUAUUUUUUAUAAACUAUAUGCUAAUGCUAUAUGCAGCUUACUGUGAAGUGGCUGCUGCCUGCUGGUAAACUUCUAGGUGUCCUACUACAUUUCUUCUGUGAUAAUCACAAUGGAGAAUAAAUGAAAAAAUGUUUGUUUAAUUAUGCAAAUAUCACUUGGUAAUUCUUGUAGUGACCAGAGGUGUGUUCUCUGGAUGAAUUGUUCUAUUCACCUUAUUGUUACUGCGCAUCUCUUUUUUAGCACUGUAGGAAUUUGAAUGCUAACAUUUGACGUCAUGUUCUCCUAAAAUCCAGUUACUUACGAAUAUGUGGUUCUUGUGCUCAACAUUUCUUUCCCUUAAUGUUAUUGCUGCUUGUAGGUAUGUAUUAUAGUACUGCAUGGUUUCCAUCAUGUUUUGUGGUAAAAACUUCCCAAUGCUUAACUUGCUCUUUAUGUUCUCUCAUUUGUUGAAGAUACUUUCGAUUUCUAUAUUGGCUUUGAAAUCAAGUGUGUUUUGCCAAUUUGUAUUUCUUGCUAAAAGUUAGUUGAAAGAUUCAGCUUUUGAAUUGGAGAUGCUGAAAGAUUGAAUUUUCUUAGUAAUUGGUGCAGCUGUAGUAAAUUCUACUGUUAAUCAUCCUGUUUCGUUGUGUAUGCAGGUUGGAAUCGUUCAUGCAAUCAAUAAAUUCCAUAAUGAUCUUCCACAUGUGAAUUUAGCUGUGUCAUUGCAUGCUCCUGACCAAGACAUACGUUGUCAGAUAAUGCCUGCUGCACGUGCCUUUCCUUUAGAAAAGCUAAUGAAUGCGCUACAGUCCUAUCAAAAUAAGAGGUGAGACAUCUCUUACCAGUGUCAAAUAUUAGCACAAAUAUUUGAUUUCUGAUCACACUUUCAUGUUUCAUCACAGCAACCAGACCAUCUUUAUUGAGUACAUAAUGCUUGACGGAGUUAACGAUCAGGAGGAGCAUGCACAUCAGCUUGGUAAACUGCUUGAAACGUUUAAAGCGGUGAGACACUGUUACAUCACUUCAUUUUAUCGUUAUUACCUUUGCUCUAGUUACUUUUUUUCUUGUUACCUGUUUGAUUUGCUCAAACAAGAUAUCCAACCAGGCAGUUUUGCUGUGGUUAAUUUCUGAUGUUAAUUAUUCCAUCCAUUUUGUAUUGCCUCCGCUAGUCUUAUUGUUCAAUCUUUCCCUUUAGUUUGCUUUUGACAUUUGUGUUUAGUAAUUCUGGUGCGCCAAAUUUGCUAUAGGUGACUUGAAUUGAUUCACAUCUUCAAUUGGUCUUUCUGGACCGCCUCCUAUUUCUACUAUGCACGGCAAAGUUUUGGCAACUAUCUAAAAUGAACAUGCUCUAAAUGUGUUCUUCAAAUCAUACUGGUUAGCAAGCACAAUAAUGCUACGGUCAUGAUUAUUUCCUUAAAGAUACAGUACUCCCAUCCAAGUGUAUAGGGUGCCUUUUAUUUUGGCACGGUUGCCAAAAUUAAACUUUGACAAUCGUUUUCUCACGUAAUAUAUCGUGCAGAGCUACAAAACCAACUCAUAUAUGAAUUUAGUUGGUAAUUUUCAUACACUGAACAUGCUUCUAAUUUGGCCAAGUUUUGGUAAGAUAUACGAAGUUCAAAUUUCCCUGAAACAUGUACACUAAAUAUAAUUGGAUGUAUUUAUUUUUACUUGUCAAUUCAGCUUUGUAUUUGGGAAUGGAAUCAACAAUAUGUUCUCUAAAUUAUAAACAGGUUGUAAAUCUGAUACCAUUCAAUCCAAUUGGGUCGUCAAGCAAUUUCAAGACAAGCAGUGACCAGAAUGUGAAGAAGUUCCAAAAGGUCAUAAGAGGCAUCUACAACAUCAGAACCACUGUUCGCCAGCAGAUGGGUCAAGACAUAGCUGGUGCUUGUGGACAGUUGGUGGUUAGCCUCCCAGAUGAAAGAUCAACUGGUGGUGCAACCCUUCUGUCAGACAUUGAAGACUUUCGGAUCUGACCUCUCUCUCCCGUCUUUUACUUUUAUCAUCGUUUCAAAAUCAAAUCCUAACUAGCCUUACAUGAUAUUGUAACUAGUGCUAUAGUUUCAGUGAAGCUUUAAAGUAUGGAGAUGUUGAGUUUGUCCAUUGUGGUGUUUCCCUUCUGUUCUGGGCUGCACAAUUUUGCUGUAAACACAAUGGUGAAGACUCCUGCUUUUGUGGAUAGGUGGCAACUGAAGCGGUUGGUAACUUGGUAUUGUAAACGGGACAAUGUUAUCGCAACAUUGCCAUGAUCAGAUAAUGAUAUCAUAUCGUCUGACUAGAUGACUAUUUCCCGUCAGACCUUGAUGAAUAUCUGGUGUUUUCCCUCUGCAUGUCUUCCUUGUUUUGUAUUUGCUGUGAUUCGUUUGCCAUUAGUCGAGCUGGGCGUGCAGGAAUUGAGCUUUCGGUUGGUGCUUGUUUCGUUGCUCUUCAGAUUCUGUGUCGGUGGGCUGGUGUGUGAUGCUGGUGGUGGAAGUGGCAUGGGCUUGGUGCUGCUGCAUGUGUGAUCUGUGAAGCUGGAUUUGGUGGAGAACAUGUGUGUGUUUGCUAGGUGAUAAGGUGAAGCAUAUGAGCUGUGUGCUGUUCAGUUCUUAGUUUAUUCUGGAGUCGAAGAACUGAGGACGCAUUGCUGGGAAGAUGCCUUGAGCUGUUCGCACUCGUGAAAUUCGUUCGUUAAUAUUUACUCCCUGCAAGUUUCAUAGUGUAUGCUGGCGAGAUUUGAUCUCGCUUUCCACGUCUUAAGUGCUCGCUGAAGGAGAGCCAGCAUUGGGAAGUUGGUUGUGGAGUUUGGUCAAGUAGAUAUUGUUUACUCCCAAAUUGGAUAUAAAAACACCAUUCUGAAAAAUAACAAAAAAACAAGGAUUUCAAAUGAACACCGAACUAGGUUUUUAUUUAUCUUGAUUGAACCAAAUUUUCAUCUGGGAGGUUUGGAUUUGGUAAAUGAAGUUGUAUGGAAAUCCAAUCGUUGUGCCUGGCUCGGUUGACAUUGGUAUAUAGACUAUGUUAUAUUGUUAAAUUACAAGCCUUCUACUUCAUCAAUUUCAAAUUAUAGGUUGUUUUGACUAUUUUAAAUUCGUAGCUGUUUGUAUGCAUCUAAAUAUAGUGUAGGUCUAGAUGCAUACAAACACUUAUGAAUUUAAAAAAGAUAAAAUGACCUAUAAUUUGAAAUGGAGGAAGUAUUAUCUAUAUUCUUUCUAGUUAAUACGUGUACUUGCGAAUCCCUGCAAUUUGAAUAAAUCAAGAUCUUACCAUAACUGCAAUUUUAGAGAGACGUAGAAGUACAAACAUGUGGGAUCGCUUCUGCAACUGGAUAACUAGCACCUAAAACCGUCUUUGUUUUGAUGAUCCCUAUCGCCGAAUUUCUUUUUUCUUGAAGGGAAGAAAAAAAAAUCAGAUCCUUCGUCCGGGGGAACCGAGGACGCAGGGGCGGAAACGUGCCGUGCCGGCUCCAACUGAGCUGACCCGAACCAACCCACCCCUCUCCGCGCCUGUCAUUCAUUUGUCGAGCCCCACACAGCUCCUCGUGGCGGAACUUGGCGGCGCCCUCUGACGGUAGUGACCUCUCCUUUCUCCUCGCCUUCGAUCGGCGGCCGCCUCCCCCUCCACUCCCGUCCCCUUCCGCUAGACGCCGCCACCGCCGCCGUCGCCAUGGCCAUGAAGGGACCCGGCCUCUUCUCCGACAUCGGCAAGAAGGCCAAGGGUACCUCCUCCUCGCCCUUCUCGUCAUCAUCAUCACCAUCACCUCUUUCCAGUCUAAUUGGUUUGGGUUUCCCCGUUUGUGGCUUGGUGAUCUGCAGAUCUGCUCACGAAGGACUACACCUACGAUCAGAAGCUGACCGUCUCCACCGUCAGCUCCUCUGGAGUGGUAAGGGUUCUUCCGAUCCGAUCGCGGUCGUGUGAUUCCAUGCUGCCUGGUUUCGUGUUCGCUUGUCCGUGCCCGCGAGGCCUGAUCUGGUUAUGGCUGUGGUGUUCAGCGUCGAGAUGUUGCUAGUUGCUAUGUGUGGCCUGUUAGGUGUUUGUUACCUUGCUGGUUUGGAGCUCUGUUUUACCAAGUACAUUGGUGUCUUGCGAUUUGCUUGGUCGUUGCAUCCGUAUGUUAGUAUCUGAGGGCACCAUGUGUCUGAUACUUGUUAAUUUUGUGGUAGAAUGAUAGGAAAUGGUACUUUGGUCAUAUUCUUGUAGAGCAAUGCAGUUGCUUAUUAUAGUUAUUUUAUUGUUUGUCGAGUAAGAUCAUUGAGUACCGCUCACACUGGAGGAGGCCUUGUAGUUAGCCAGUGUGUUUGAGAUGCUGUGUUUAGCCUCCAUCGCUACUGGAUCGGUGGUGGUCAUGAUCUCAGGCUAUCCUAGUUUGUGAAGUUGUGAACAUUGUCUGAAGAAAUUGGCUGGUUUUGACCUUGUUUGUUUUAUUCUUUUGUUGCUCAUGCCUUAGUUUUGCAACAAGUCGGUCAUAGUAGUCCUUCUGCCUGCCAUUCUUAUUACGAAAGUAAUGAUGAAGCUUAGCUGCUUGUACACUGGAGAAGUUGUACGGUCACAGUUGAAAUUAAUUUGGAUUGACUGGCACUUUCAACAUUGACCUAAGACAAUCCUUUCUAGAAGGUUCAAUUGUAAUACAACCUAUCAUGAUUUCUCCUGUCGCUGCUUUUUCUUUCACUGUGUUGGCAUAUGUACAUGAUGGACCUGUUUUCCAUUCUUAUUUAAUAAAUAUUUGGUUGUUCCACUUGCCAAAUUCUCACCUGUGUCUGUAUCUGACCAACACAAAUACAUUUCUGGUUCACAAUGUUGGUGUUUUGAGCAUUGAUACCUGAUACUUCACAAUUGAUGUAUCCAAUGAUGGGAAUUCGAAUUUGUGCAGUUACAUUUUCUUCCUGCUUUUUAAACCUGAUUUCAUCAGUUACUUUAGAAUUUCUUCUAGAAACUUACAAUCACUAGAUGCUUUCAUUGGAUGUACUGAUUUAUUGAUCUCACAAAAUGGGCUUUCAAGCUGUGCAAUUAGUGCUCUCAUUCUGCACAAGAAUAUACAUUGAUCUAUAAUCAUGUUCUUAAAAUAAAUCAAAGUUAUGUCUGGUGAAUUCCUGAAUGCUUUUCUUUUUUUUUUUUGGAAAUUGCAAAUUGGACACUCAAACAUGAGUUGGAUCCAGCACCCGUAUAACACUGAAUAUGUCAGUACCAAUAUGCCAUUACACUUUAUCAUCAGUCUUAUUGUAGCAAUGCAAUGUUCAUUAGCCAGAUUGAACUCUCGCAAAAGCUGUCUUUACUUGAGCAUGAUAUAUCUAUUAAUUAAACUAAAGUGCAAAUUGGUGAUUCAUUAAUAUAGUGGUGGGUUAAAGUGUCAACUAGUUAUCAGGAGUCCAUUCUCCUGAUAGUAACAUUACCAAUUAUUUUGCUCAUUUUAAGUUUGAAAAAUAAGACUAGAUGUACACAACUGCAUGGAUAGUGCUGACCACCCUAUAAUUUGUUGAAACUACAGAGAUAAUCUUAUAUAGAUUAUAUGCAUUUUCAAAAUGCAUGGGCUAUUAUCUUAUGUGCUUUGUUUGCUUUGACAUAAUAUUUUUCUUCUUUCAGCAACAGUGAACUGAUAUAUUCUUUAUAUCAUUUUCAUUUUAAGAUUGUUAGUAAAGUUAAUUGUGAUGACAGUACUAGUGCAUUUUCUGCUGUUUGAGGCUUUUUCUUUAUAUAUGAAUUAGCCCUUUAUAAACUUGCUUUUCAUGGCUCUCUUUUUUAUCUUUUUUUUUUCAGGGCCUCACUUCCACAGCUGUGAAGAAAGGAGGGCUUUAUACUCUUGAUGUCAGUUCAGUUUACAAGUACAAGAAUACUGUUGUUGAUGUUAAAGUGGACACGGAAUCAAACGUUAGUGACAUUAAACAUAAAAAUUUAUGCAUUCUCUAUUUGUAGCCUAUAGCUAGACAUAAAUCUAUAGCACUUUUGUAUGAUUCCUGCAGAUCUCUACUACCUUGACUGUGUUGGAUGCCCUGCCAUCCACAAAGCUUGUGACGUCUGUGAAGCUGCCUGACUACAAUUCUGGAAAGGUAUUUUCAUUUGCUGUCAAUUUAUGGUUGGUGAAUUGAAAACAGGUCCUUGAGUGUAAAUGUUCUUUGUACCAGGUGGAACUGCAUUACUUCCAUGAGAAUGCAAGUCUUGCUACUGUUGUUGGCACGAAGCCCUCUCCUGUGGUUGAACUUUCUGGGACAGUAGGUGCUCAAGGAGUUGCUUUUGGUGCGGAAGCUGGAUACGACACAGCUUCAGGAAAAUUUACCAAGUACACUGCUGCAAUUGGUGUAACCAAGCCAGACUACCAUGCUGCAUUCAUUCUGUAAGUCCACACUUACACUGUGAUUUGUGUGGUAUGAGGCUGGAACACAAUUAUUGAUACAUCACGCAUGCUUGUGCAGGGCCGACAAAGGUGACACCAUCAAAGUGUCAGGUGUUUACCACCUUGAUGAGAAGCAGAAGGCCUCAGCUGUGGCUGAACUAACCCGGAGGCUCUCAACAAAUGUGAACACACUCACUGUUGGUGGCCUCUACAAGAUCGAUCCUCAGACAGCUGUGAAGGCAAGGCUCAACAACACUGGAACGCUCGCCGCGCUUCUCCAGCACGAGCUUAAACCCAAGUCACUCUUGACAAUCUCCGGUGAAUUCGACACCAAGGCCCUGGACAGGGCCCCCAAGUUUGGCCUGGCACUCGCGCUGAAGCCCUGAUCAGAUCAUCCGCGGUCGAUUGCCGGUGAAUUCCGAAUUCUUUGGUUGUUUUUUUGCAAAGCUGUAACCAAUAAUCUGUUCCACGAACCUGUUCCGUUAAUCUGGCAAAGGUUUGACGCUCCGUGGGAAGGAUCCGGAUGGGUCGUCUGCAGGAUUUUUACCCAUCAACAGUUUUUUUGUUGUCGAAGGCAUCUGUAGAUGUAUGCCGCUUGUUUCUUUAGCGUCUAGGCUCUCUGCCACUGUGAGUACUGAGUAGCCGCCAUGGUAAUCUUUUGCAUGCAGAAACUACAUGUCAUAUUUGUGCGGUGUUGAUUGAUGCACCGCAGAAUGAGAUUUACCACCUGUUUUGAGCUCAUUGAUCAUGUGCAUGUGGUGUUCGUCCGCUGGUGCUAUGUUUUUGUUACUGCUCUCUUGACGUUUCUUGGGAGUGGAUUCCUGGACUGGUAUAUGCUUCAUCGGCGUGCCGUCGAGGCGGGACGGCGAGAGGUCUCACCGAGCCACCGAUGAAGUCGAAUCUUCAGCAGCAGGCUGCAGGCGGCUGUACUGUAUACGGACUACGGUGAAGGCCGCCGGUGCGCGCGCAACCACUGGGGUAAAGGCAAACGCCCGACCGCAGGAAUUCGGAGCUGCGCAUCUCGGCUGUAGCUUUCACGUGCCCCUCGAUUCCAUUCUUUUUAUUUGGCUUCGGUGGCGAGUCACAUGGCCACAAGCACAGCUCCCGACCUCCCGUGUGGCAAAUGUCGCAGACUUGCAGUCGCAGGCGCCCAUCCCCUACCUACCAUCAUCAGACAACGGCGUGGCGCUCGGGCCCUCUGUAUUUGCUGCUCAUCUCAUCUCCAUCCAGAAAUCCAGAUCAUCCUCCUGCGCAUCGCGGUCGCGGCUGGCCCCUACGGCCAUCGCGAGCGACGACACCAACGUGCGGGGGCGGGGAGGUGGCAGACGGAGCCUCUCCAGUCUCCACAGACCACAGCCGCGCAUGACAGCAACCCGCCUGCAUUUCCGGCUCCAGUACAUUUCGUUUCACCCAGGAAGGAGAACCUGAUUCCACGCAGCGACCAGCCCGGCAUCCCGGCCCAGCCACAGCCAGGGCCAACACCCUCUUCGACCCGACGCCAGCCAGCGCCGGUAGCGCAGGCACCGCGCCCACGCCCGCGCCCCCGCUCACCCCGGCGAUGCGCCGCGCCCCGCGCUCGUGACCCAUGGCCUCGCUCUCCGUUCCUCCCACGCUCCCGCGGGCCUCGCCAGCGGUGGUGGGCGCGGCGAGGUGGAGGAGGGCCGCGGUGCGGGUGCGCGGUCGCACUGCCGCCGCGGCAUUGGGCGGUGGGUGCGGCGGCGGAGGAGGAAUGGAGCAGCGCCACGGGGACGGCCCGCACAGCCCAGGUAACUCGCUAACUCGUCGCUUGUGUAGAGAGAUAAGAUGAAUUUGGGAAUUACACCACACGCCAGGAGGAGGUGACAUUUCAUAUAGACUAGACCGGCUUGGUGUACAAGUAUAUAACUACAAGAGAUAUAUGAUACGUGUACAUAUCGUAGGCUAUACAUAUCUCUAAUACCUGCCCGCAGUCGCAGCGGGAGGUUCUUGAACACAAAGACUGGACCUGAAAUCAGUGAACAACUGUACUGGUAAGCCUUUGGUCAUGAUGCCCGCAAACUGGUGCGACGAUGGAACAUGAAGCACGCGAAACUGUCCUAGUGCAACCUUCUCGCGGACGAAGUGGAUGUCGAUUUCGAUAUGCUUGGUGCGGCGGUGGUGAACAGGAUUUGCUGUCAUAUAGACCGCACUUACAUUAUCACAAUAGACAACCGUCGUCGUAGCAACUGAAAUGUGAAGCUCCUGAAGAAGCUAGCGCAGCCAACAACAUUAAUGUCAUGGUAGAGAAGGGCAAGGUUUCCUAGAUGAUUCUGCUAAGUCUUCACUCAAAAUAUCCUAAUCGUACAGUAUGGCUGAGUAACAAUGUUAUUGACAAUGACGAGGAGACUUACUUAAGGGGUUACUAAUUGCUAACUACAUGGGAGGGGUGGUGGUUCCAAAUAAACUUGAAGUGUGACGAGUCCAUGACAUACAUCUUAUGGUUGAAGGUAAAAGCUAAUGAAAAGUUGUUUAGUUCUUAUAGUUCACGAUGGUAGGCUUGGCAGUAAGAAGAUGAAGGAUAAUAGGUAGAAAAGCAAAGAAAGCACUUUGAUUUAUGUGUUAUUUUAGGAUGUGGAUAAUUCUCCACACGAGAAGGUUUAGUUUUUCAUGAUUUCCUAUAAAAGAAGAAUUUCUAAUUUUUAGAUAUGAUACUGGGAAGGAGGAACAACAACAACAACAUAAUCUUUCAGUACCAAGCAAGUUAGGGUAGGCUAGAGUUGAAACCCAACAAGAGCCACAAAUUAGGGUUAGGGCACAUGAAUAGCUGUUUUCCAAGCACUCCUAUCCAGGGCUAAAUCUUUGGGUAUAUUCCAUCCCUUCAAAUAUUCUUUUAUUGCCUCUUCCUAUGUCAAUUUUGGUCUUCCUCUACUUCUCUUCACAUUCUAUCACGCCUUAGGGUUCUACUACGCACCGGUGCCUUCGGAGGCCUUCGUUGGACAUGUCCAAACCAUCUUAGCCGAUAUUGGAUAAGCUUUUCUUCAAUCGGUGCUACCCCUAACCUAUCAUGUAUAUCCUCAUUCCGGACUCGAUCCCUUCUCGUAUGACCACAAAUUCAACGCAACAUACGCAUUUCUGUAACACUUAUCUGCUGGACAUGUCGUCUUCUUGUAAGCCAACAUUCUGCACCAUACAACAUUGCAGGUCUAAUCGUCAUCCUAUAAAACUUACCUUUUAGCUUCAAUGGUACCCUCUUGUCAUAUAAAAUUCCUGAUGUUUGGCACCACUUCAUCCACCCCGCUUUGAUUCUAUGACUAAGAUCCUCAUCAAUAUCCCUAUCUCGUUGUAGCAUUAAUCCCAAAUAUCGAAAUAUAUCCUUCAUGGACACUACUUGGCUUUCCAAACUGACAUCUCCCUCCUCAUGUGUAGUAGUGCUAAAAACACAUCUCAUAUAUUCAGUUUUAGUUCUGCUGAGUCUAAAACCUUUUGACUCUAGGGUCUCCCGCCACAACUCUAGUUUCCUAUUUACUCCUGCUCGACUUUCAUCAACUAGCACUACAUCAUCCGCAAAGAGCAUACACGAAGGGAAAUAGAUAAGGGCUCAAAGCAGACCCUUGAUGCAGUCCUAUUUUAAUCGGAAAGUCAUCUGUGUUGCCAUCACUUGUUCGGACUCUAGUUACAACAUUGUUGUACAUGUCCUUAAUAAGUCCAAUGUACUUCGUUGGGACUUUAUGUUUAUCCAAAGCCCACCACAUAACAUUCCUUGGUAUUUUAUCAUAUGCCUUCUCCAAGUCAAUGCAAAGUAUGUGUAGGUCCUUCUUCUUCUCCCUAUACCGCUCCAUAACUUGUCUUAUUAAGAAAAUAACUUUCAUGGUUGACCUUCCAGGCAUGAAACCAAAUUGGUUCAUAGAGACCCGUGUUAUCCUUCCCAAAUGAUGGUCGAUAACUCUCUCCCAUAGCUUCAUAAUAUGGCUCAUCAACUUAAUUCCUCGGUAAUUAGUACAACUUUGAAUAUCUCCCUUAUUCUUGUAUAUUGGUAGCAGUAUACUUCUCCUCCACUCUUCCGGCAUCUUGUUCGACCGAAAAAUAUGGUUGAACAGCUAUAUCCCCGAGGCAUCUCCACACCUUAAUUGGGAUACCAUCCGGGCCCAUCGCCUUACCACUUUUCAUCCUUUUCAACGCCUCUCUGACCUCAGAUUCUUGGAUCUUCCGCACAAAGUGCCUGUUGGUGUCAUCAAAAGAGUCAUCCAACUGCAAGGUUGUGUUCUCAUUCUCACCAUUGAACAAUUUAUCAAAAUACUCUUGCCAUCUUUGUUUGAUCUCAUCCUCCUUUACCAAGAUGUUCUCUAUUUCAUCCUUAAUGCACUUAACUUCGUUGAAGUCCCUCGUCUUUCUCUCACGAACCUUAGCCAUCCUAUAGAUGUCCUUCUCUCCUUACUUCGUACUUAAUCGUUGGUAAAGAUCCUCAUACGCCCUACCCUUUUCCACACUUACAGCUCGCUUUGCGAUCUUCUUUGCCUCCUUGUACUUCUCUAUGUUGUCCACACUCCUAUCUUGGAACAAGCGCCUAUAGCAUUCUUUCUUCUCCUUAAUAGUCCUUUGGACUUCCUCAUUCCACCACCAAGUAUCUUUAUCUACGCCUCUACCCCCCUUGGUUACUCCAAGCACCUCCGAGGCCACCUUCCGAAUGCAGUUUGCCAUAUUCUCCCACAUGUUGUUUGCGUCCUCUCCUUCCUUCCAAGGGUCCUCUUUGAUUACCCUUUCCUUGAAGACCUUUGACGUCUCCUCUUUCAAUUUCCACCACUUUGUUCUUGCAAUCUUGGCUUGUUUAACCCUGCGUGCGCGCAUCUGAAAACGAAAGUCUGCCACCACAAGCUUAUGUUGAGAAACAACACAUUCCCCAUGUAUCAUCUUGCAAUCCAAGCAUGCCCGUUUAUCCUCUCUUCUUGUGAGGAUAAAGUCAAUCUGGCUAUAGUGUUGGCCACUACUAAAAGUCACUAAAUGGGACCAUCUCUUCCUAAAUAAAGUGUUCGCUAUCAUCAAGUCAAAAGCUACUGCAAAGUCCAAGACUUCCUCUCCCUCCUGAUUCCUACUACCAUACCCAAAACCUUCAUGAACCGCCUUGAAGCCUGCACUUGUUGUACCUACAUGUCCGUUAAGAUCUCCUCCUAUGAAAAGCUUCUCGCUAGAAGGUACAGUUCUAACCAGGCUAUCUAAAUCUUCCCAGAAAAGCCUUUUAGCACUCUCAUCGUGGCCUACUUGGGGGGCAUACGCACUAAGUACGUUCAGGACCAUAUCACCAACGACAAGCCUAACUAUGAUAAUCCUAUCCCCCUGCCUUCUCACGUCCACCACUCCAUCCUUGAGACUCUAGUCAAUCAAAACUCCCACUCCAUUUGUAUUUGCAGCUGUCCCUGUGUACCAAAGCUUGAAACUGGUAUUGUCCACCUCCUUCGCCUUCUGGCCCUUCCAUUUAGUCUCUUGAAUGCAUAAGAUAUUUACACGCCUCCUAGUCGCUACGUCAACUAACUCUCUUAACUUACCUGUAAGAGACCCUACAUUCCAACUACCUACAUGAAUCCUAGUUGGUUCGACUAGCUUCCUUGCCCUUUGACCCGUCGAGAGAGAUGUGAAGACCCUUACACAUUUUUCACUACACCCGGGCGCUGAUGUAGCGGGCCACUAAGGAAAUGACGAUCCGAUCCUUGCUCACUUGACACUAUGCCCAGAUCGCGACAUGGCGCGUCACCAAGGGGGAGACGACCUGGCCCUCGCCCAUUUAACCCCAUACCCGGGUUCCGAUAUGGCGCGUCGCGAAGAGGGUUACGCCCCAACGGAUUUCUCUUUGGUUUCAUCUCCAUUAGAAUGGCUAGGUUUAACGUUGGCUCGCCAAGCCUAUCGCAACCCUCCUCCUUUACCAGGGUUUAGGACCUGCUAUGUUGAGACAACAUAGGCGGAGUUGAUACUGGGAAGGAAACCAUCAUAAAAAAAUAUAUGUCGUGGCUUUGUCUGUAUAGGUUUAUUUGCUUUGUUAUUGUUGUACUAAUGAAUUUGAUAACAAGAGGAACAGGGCCGCACUAACAAUUUACGGAUAUCCAUCAUCAGUGAAGGAGAAGCCUGUAAUGUCAAACAUUGGGAAAUCAACUAAUAUUUUAUGGCAUAAUUGCCCGAUUGGACAAUCUGAUAGACAGAAGUUGCUGGGACAAAAAGGCUGUGUUGUAUGGAUCACAGGACUCAGUGGUUCAGGUAUAUUUUCAGUAGAUUGUUGCCUUGAUCUACAUGCUGCUGGCCAUAGUUUCCUUUUCCACAUUCUUGGUUAGGUUUCUAUGAGGGAAUUUCCUGUUCUUUUUAUCAAAAAUAGUUUCUGGAUGCUAUUGUUGCCAUAAGUUUUGAAGUUAAUUUGGUAGCCUUUGUGAUAGAAAGCAAGAAUUAGUCAUUUGCUUUGGGCAUUCAAUCUCAACUAAUAUGCUCAUGCAGGUUUAGAGCUGUUUCCCAGUUACUUUUACAUACGUUAUUUCCUUGCCAUCUGAAUCUGAUUAUGUUGAACUAAAUUAGACUUCAGAUUGAACAUGCAUAUAACAUAAAUACUUCUUUCAUAGGCUUCCUACAUGAGUUAAAUCCACAUAUUAGUUUGAUAUCUGCUCUACAGGCAACUGAGUGCUGGCAUCUUGAUUACCAUUAGCUACUCAGCAUGUAAUGUUGCCCUGUUGUCGCAUAAACUUUUCAUUGGCUGGUACGCUGCUAAAUUAAUAUCUCCACGAUAAGUACCAAAUCUGGUGUGGUGUAUUGGCAUCAGUACGGGAAAAAGUCUUGCACUCUCACUCUGAUGAUUCUUCUACUAGGUUCAUUUUGAAAUCUAUUUUCUUUAUCUUUUAGCACUUCCCUCUGCUACACAGUGAUUGUUUGAUAGUGGUAACACAUCACCUGGUGAUUGUCUUUGCAAUGUUGUUCAUACAGACUGUUUUUCCUUCCCUCUUGCAUGCCAUUCUAAGUUAGCCCCUGCCGCAUCCUGAGCAUUAUUCCUACCAUUACAUUUAUAUUUCAGUUUAUUUUGGCUAGCAUGAGUCAAAGCUUAUGUUUUCUCCAUUCUCUUGUAUCUACAAAAGUAUACGACACAAAGGAAAUUAGCAUCUUUUUAUGUUUCAGGGAAAAGUACUCUUGCAUGUGCAUUGAGUCGGGAGUUACAUUGCAGAGGCCACCUCACGUAUGUCCUUGAUGGCGACAACCUCAGACAUGGCCUAAAUCGAGAUUUAAGCUUCAAGGCAGAAGACCGUGCAGAAAAUAUACGAAGAGUUGGUAAGUUCUGAAGAAAAGAAGAUGGUUCACUAGAAGUUCUUUCACUAUAGCUAAAUCUUUCGUGCAGGAGAAGUGGCAAAGCUUUUUGCGGAUGCUGGUAUCAUUUGCAUUGCUAGCUUGAUAUCUCCAUACAGGAGAGACCGUGAUGCAUGCCGUGCUCUACUUCCGGAUUCUAAAUUUAUUGAAGUAUGCUUACUUAUGAUUCUCUUAAGUCUUGUUAGUGAUAAUCAUCUAUCUAACUACAUGCAAGCUCUGUAGGUAUUUAUGGAUUUGCCCCUAAAAAUUUGUGAAGCUCGUGAUCCUAAAGGUCUGUACAAGCUUGCACGCACAGGAAAGAUUAAAGGUACAAGCGACUGUAGUACUAGUUAAAUGUCAACCAAUACAGCUUAGCUGCUAUAAUAUGAGUUUGUGUAGUCUUACUUCAAUCAUUGCCUUUUGAAAAACAGGUUUCACUGGAAUUGAUGAUCCAUAUGAACCACCAGUGAACGGUGAGGUGAGCCUAAAGAGCAUGUCUUACUCUUACUUCCUAUGUGCCCGCACCUUACAAUUUCCAUAUAGUAACUGGAUAUGAAAUAUAAAGAGACCUCGCUAUUGAUGUAGUGGUUCUUGACGUCAUUGAUCAUUAUGCUGGGGCUGCAUCUGUUUAGUACAAACAAGCACUUCCUCUAUGCUCUUAUGCCUUAUCAUUGAGAUAUUUGAGAUAUAGAACUACUAGCAUUUCCUUUUAUUCCUAUUGUGAUUCCCAUGCUCCAAUAUUCAGAGAACUAGCAAAAUGUUACAAGGUUAAAAUUAAACGGCGCUUUGCAUUUUUAUAUGAUAAUGUCCAUAAUGGACUACUUAAAGCGAUGACAUGAGAACUGAUUGCUAUUAGCUAUGAGUUGAGUUGAUGUAAUGUCUGAAUGACAUGCAUACAAGCAUACAGCUGAAUUCUGAUUAGCAACUUUAGAGACGAGAUCAAUAUUUUUCUUACAUUUUUAGAUAUGUUUUCCUUGUUAAAGUUGAGUUAACACAUUUCAUUAAUAAGCAAUUUAGCUUGUUCAUCAUUCAGCAAUCAACAUUAACCCUUCACUUCUAUUGCCCCCACAUAAAUGCAAAUUCAGCCACUUGUUUUCAAAAAAUGGUUGCUCUUUGCGUGAUCUUAUGCAGAUAGUAAUUCAGAUGAAAGAUGGGGAAUGCCCUUCACCCAAAGCAAUGGCCAAGCAAGUUAUGUGCUAUCUUGAAGAGAAUGGAUGUUUGCAAGCUUAGCACAUACGUGAGAAGAUUGAUCUGAUUCUUUUGUGUCCAUUACUCGUGGACACAAGCAUGAUCCAUUGAUCCAGAAUAAAAGGCAUCGUCACAAAGCAAGCAACAGAGUACAGAGGUGCAGUUCAUUCAGAGAAAGAUACUGAUUCAUCUUAUUGUUGAGGCUAUUUGUUUUGUGUGUGUGUAUUGUGCUUGUACAGCCGCAAUGUACAUCAGCAAUUCAGCACGCACUGGUUUAACUCGCGUUGACCGCUGCGCGUGAAGGCUGAUGGGUGUUUGCGAGUUGUGUUGGUAAUGUAUUUGAUACCAAUAAAUACAAAUAAAUUAUCCAAUUUGUACAUGACUCGUUUCCACUUGGAAUAAAAGUCAAGGAAAGUUGUAACACCUUCCAUAGAGUUCAUACCUCAUGCUGUCUCCUCCGCUGUUGCCGUUUCUCACUAAGGUAGCGUUUGGUUCAGCCGUUUUGCGGUGUAAUCGGAUCACGCUGUGAUUUGAAUACGAUUAUUUUGUGUUUGGUUUGCCCGGUCCGUAAAUGGCUACCAUGGUAUCUGAUAUAGCCUUGUACGAUUCUGAUACCACCCAAGAUCUGCCGUAUCAACUUCCUCGCAGGCCCCGUCUCCUCGCGUCAUGUUGAUUCGUUUUUUUCCUAGCCAACUAAUCACCUCUGCUACCGCCCAUCUUCAUCGCCCCAGAUGCAAAUCGCAUUCCUUAGCUGCGCCGCAAUUUGAUCUUCCGUCGUCUCUUCCGUUGUCGCCGUGAAAGUGCCGCCGCCGCCGCAGAGGCCAUCUGCCUCGCCAUAGGCUUCUUCGGCCGCCCUUCGAGAUGGGAAGGAUACAAAGCCACGGUCUAUGGAGCUGGUACUAAAGCGAAGCAAAUUGAAGCAGCAAAUUGAGGUGAAUCCAUCUGAUCGGUACUGGCGAGAUCCAUGGCGGCCUCGUCGUCUCUGUCGUCCUGAUCGAAGCUGCGGCACAAGCUGUUCACCCACGGUGCGCUGGUACUUCGGCCAGGGAACGUUGCCGACACGGGGGCACAGAGAGGGGCCAGAGGUGGCGCGGCGGGGCGGCCGCGGGGAGUUCCACUGUGACGCGCUUAAGCUACACCGCUCAACUUUGACGAGCCGCGAGGAAGACGACGCAUCGGAGGGAUGAGCUCUGUAAUGAGUUUCCAAUACCGUGGCUAAACCAAACAAAUGACGGUUUUUGUUACACGGUAACAGUACCACUGCCUAUCAAUUACGUUAGCGUACCGCUGGUUUGGCUGAACCAAACACCACCUAAAUGGGAACGGGCUUACAAACAUUUCCACAGAAAAGCUGCAUCUUUUUUGCUUAUUUCUUUCACAGAUAAAAUAUGAUCACCACUUCUCGGUGUCUGUUAUAUUCAUAUCUUCAUUGAUCUUGUUGGUCUUUUUUUUCGCCCUCCCAGGGCACACAUCUUCUGAUCUUCACGCCCUGAUACCACAAUCCACUAAUCCAGUAUUGUAAAUUGUAAUCAUGAUCAUCCAAGCAUGCACAGCACUGACAGUGGGGGAGCCGCAAAGCAGCGGGAAAUGAAAUGAGCGCCUGACAUCAGGUGCCCGUGCCAAUACGGCCGACCAGCACCUGAUCCCGGUCUCUGACCGAUCAAGCAUGGAAGCAACGACGCAUCCCAUUGGGCAGAGCCGCUGCAAAUCUUUUUCCACAGGGCUUCGGCAGCAUGAUGACCUGAAAAGCUCCAAGUUGCAUGUGCUGCUUUGGAAUUUGGAUGGAUCGUCCCUCUGGUCAGUGGGCUCCCCACCCAGCACUCACUCGCUGCGCCGACUGGCGGCUGCUUGCCUGCUUCCUGUCGCCUUCGAGGCUGAGGUUCCAAGUCAUGGCAUCCAUACUCCGAACUGAGCUUCCGGGUUCUGACCACUUUUCUCCUACUCGGAUGAAGAAAAGAAAAAUUGAGCUAUGAAAAUUUGGGACUUGGUGGUGAGGUUAGGGCAGAACUCACAUCGCAGGCAUACGGUAAGGCCAUUGUCCAUGUGCGUCCAAAGUUACCUAACCAACAGCACAAGGAAACAAAAGGGGAGGAUUGCCUGAGCUCCGAAGUCCAGCCUUCUUCCUCCACCCUUUGAAUUCUCCGUCAGACGGUAGCAAGGCAUGUGCGUGCGCGUACGGCGUAGCUGCGUAGGCGACGGAGUACGUGCGCCUGCUUCUGUUGUCUACGGAGAAUUAGCGGCGGUAAACAAUGCGGGGAAGCUCAGCUCAGUUCGCCCCCAGGUCAACUCGUGCGAACCAAACUGUUCUUGGCCGUCGAUCACUGCCGGCCUCACGUUUCGUUGCGUGAUUUUGAUCCGGUCAAAGUCGCAGCAGGACGAAACAAAAAA